AAAGUUGAAUAGUGGGAACUAGGGGUGGACAGAUUUUUUCAAUCCAGUCCAAACCGACCUACCCAAGGGACCCAUGGACAUGUGGGUCGGGUUAGGCGGGUCUUCGGGUUACCGGGUUGGGAAAAAAUGGGUUCAUAUGGAUUAUGUCGGUCGGUUUCGGAUGCUGUUUUUGAGUCCAUGGAUAUCCACACCCGACCGGCUGAGGAAGGGAGUAUAGAUGAGAUAGUUAAUAGGACUUGACAGAUUAAUGGGUCCAUGGAUUUUUUCACUUAGUCAACUAGGGUUUCAUCAGUUCUCAUCAAUCCUCCAAAUUUGUUUCUCUUCAGUACCUUUCCGCUAGGGUUUUAUCUUCUUCUUCAACCGCCGUCGCUGCUUCGUUAUCCACGAGCACCACCACGCCACCAAGCCACGAACCACCACCACGCCACCAAGCCACGAACCACCACCGAUGAGGUGGAUUAUGAUACAUAAGGAGAAGUAGCUUAUAUGAGAAGUAGCUUAUUUGGAUUGGAACAUAACUAUAGCAUUUUUUUGCUACAUGGAAUGUGGUUGGAAGAUCUCCACCAGAGUAAUUUGAGUAUCAAUGAUUUGUUUCAUGACUCGCUGCAUGCAUUUGAUCAACUCAAACAGGGUGUUCAUUGAUGAGUUUAUUUGUAAAAUAUUUGAAAUUUGAAAUUUGGAUAACUAUAAUAUAUUGAUAGACUGUGUUGUGAUCUACAUGAUGUUGCAGAUACAAUUAUAUACUAUUGGGUUGUUUGUUAUAUUUGAAUGCCCAACUUUUUUAUUUA